GCGGCCGCCCCACUCCCGCCCCACGUGGCCCCGAACUUUCGGCCGCCCCGGCCCCGCCGCGCAAGCGCUGCCCCCGCCCCGCUCCGCUCCGCCCCGGGGCUCCCUCAGMGCGGGCGGCGGGAGCGGGGCGGUUCCGGAUCCCUCCCGCGGCCCGGCCAUAGCCUGGAGCAGCGGGGUUGAGAUCCGCGGUGAAAUGGCCGCCAAAGCGGCCUCCAGAACGCCUCCGAGGCGGCGCUCCCGGGCUCGCCCGGCCCUUGCUCGGCUGGAGAGAGUGAGGGUGAGGGGUGCUGGGCUGUGCACAGCGAAUGCUUAGGAAGAUCCCACAUCGCUCAGCAGUGGAAAAAGUCAACAUUGAAGAGAGCUCCCCACAGCCUGCAUCCACAGCAAUGCUGAGUGCCCCUAAAUGGCUGUGACUUCAAAGGAUCAGGCCUUGAGGAUGGAGUGGAAGAAAGACACCUUUACUACAGCYGUCUGUUAGCCGUGGCCCUGUGUAGGGUGGUUUAUGCUCCCAUGUCACCUUCCCAGUCCUGACCUCUGGAUCCAGCUGAUCUCUCUGCUGUUGYGCUGAUAACUGAGAAUGGAAGUGGCCUCUUGAGAAGCUCUGGUCAAACUGUUCUASUCAAGCAGGAUCAGCUAGAUCAGUCUGUCCAGAACUGUGUCCAGAUGGGCUUUGAAGAUGGAUGCAGAGCCCAUAACUUCAGUGGGUAACCUAUUCCAGUGUCCAGCCACCCUCACAUCUCCUUUAUUGUUGUUUCUUUUCCCUUUUUGUCUCAGCUAUUGUUGUCCUGAGCCAUUUAUGCUGAACUGUGCACUCUGCUCUAGCCAUCUCCAAUGCUUAAACGUCUCCCUCCUCAGGCCCACCUCAUGUCAGGAGGCCCUGAGCCAAACCAGAACAGGUGGUAAUCCCACCACAGGACAAUAUUCCUAGGAAGAGUUUCUUCUUGGUAUAACUUGAAUGUAUGCUUUGGCCAGUCAGAAAACAUAAUUUUUUUUAUAAGCCCAGAACACUGCCUAUCAAAAAAGCCUUUUUGAGUCAGCUUUACAGAGCAGAAUGGACAGUUAAUUAGUAGAUGAAAAGGACAACAUAACCUCCGAUCAGUUGCUUCGUGUAAAACUUCAUACUUUUUCAGGACUGUGUUUUAAGAAGUGCAGAAUGUUACUUUGUUUUCUUUUGUGGGAUUUGUUACAGCAAGGCUGCUAUCAUCAARGAAAAAGGCUAAAAUUCAACUCAGCCUGAUUACUUUUUAAUCUAGAGUUUACUGAAGACUUUGUACACCCACGUUAAAUGCCCAGUGAGAGCUAAUAUUUGUGAUGGGAGGAAGAGGAGUUUUCCUGAAGAUACAGGCAGAAAACACUGCUCAUGACAAUGCUGAAGUAAAAAAAAUUGCAUCCUACGCCCCAGAAUUAGCAGACCUCAAAUACUUCCUUAUGGCAUGUUAAGAAAUGAACACAUAAAGAGUUUGGUGAUGUGAAGAGUACUCACACCAAACCCCAUGCUUGUGCCAACCCCAAUUCAAACUUGAGUGUGACCGAGAUAACAGACUAAAAAGUCCCUUGUUUGGUUUUUGGUGCUACUGUGCCAUGGCAGGAUCCUAGGAUAGUGCUGUUUCUGCUGUGGGGUUGUGAUGGAACACACUGUGACAUCCCAGCCCAUUGAAGUGGGUGGGAAUCUUGCCAUUUGUUCUGUGACUGUCAGUGACUUCUGUUAUCACAGGUGAUGCAACAUCUGUGGUACAAUGAUACAAACGUCACAAUGUAGGUGCUUGACCCUGUGGCAGAAAAAAAGGCAAACAGUGACAGUAGCUACCAGCCAARGCAAAUAAAGACUUGGAGGAUGGAAAGUUGCUUAGGAUUUUCUUCUAACUUUUACAAAGUGUUGUGGAUGCAUACAGAAUUUCUAUUCUUGUUGUUAACUUUUACAAAGUGUUCUGGAUGCRCACAGAAUUUCUAUUCUUAUUGUUAACUAGCUCUGAAGGAUUAGUCAACUUUUUGUAAACAGUGAGAAACAUUUUGGCUAUAGCACAAGUUUAAAGUAAAUGCUUCUUACACAACAAGAGCAGGAUUCAGUGCUUCUU